UGAGGGGAGGCAGCUGGGGAAGCAGCCUUGCUCCGAUCCUCCUGGGCACCUGCUCCCUGGCGAGGACAACGGCAGAACCUUCUUGUCCAUCGAGGGAGAUAUUUACGCACACAAUCGACCGAUGCAAGUCGCCCGGGAUCGGUGCCCAGGGCUCUAGGGACGUGUGGAGGAAGACGGGAACGUUCCAACCUUGGCGCGUCUUGGAGAUGCAGACACGGAGGCAAAGAGCAGCAAAGUGGCUUCUCGAGAUCACCUGACCUGUGAGGGGCGGGGUCCGGAUUUGAACCCGGGUCCUCCGCCCGACCAGAACUGCCUCCGACAUCCCUCAGCGCUUACUUAGCGCCCAGCACCGUACACGACCCACUCCCUGGGUAGCUGCUGGUACUGAUGAGGUCUGGUUCCAGGAGGGCUGCUUGGAAGUGGAAGCCAGCCUUCCGGGACACACUGAAGCCAGAGAAGAGAAGCUACUUACCCAAGGUCGCACUGACAGCCUCCCCCAGAUUACUCAUGCUCCCUUUACCAGGAUUGUCCCUACCGCCCGAGGACCCACAUGUACCCUGAGUGGAAAGACAGGAGGCCACCUGUGGGGCGUCCCUGGUGCCCUGGCCACGCGCCCUCGAGGCUGAUAGGCCACUGGAGUCUCUGGGACAUGGGGUUAAUGAGCCACAUCUUUCAGCACAGCUGGCGAGCAGCUGGUCCAAGGUCACACUACCAGAACUCACCAAGAGAAUACUGAUAACGUGUGCACCCGUGCUACUGGGUGGCGGAGGAAUGCCACCGCCACGUUGACACGAUUUGUGACUCUCCGCCCUGGCGGCCUCUUCAAAGCCACCAACCCCGGAGCCCCCACCCCCAGAGUUUCUGAUUCCUUGCGCCCAGGACGCAGCCUGCCCCUGUUUGCUUUAGGAGAGCUCCAGGCGAGCCUAACUUGCAGCUUGGGGUGGAGACAGCGUUUCUCAAACUCUCCUGUGUAUUGGAAUCAUCUGGGAGGUUAAAAUACGGCCCUCCCCCACCCCAGCCUGAUUUAAUUGGGGCCGGGGGUGUGGCCUGGGCAUUAGGGUCUUGAAAUGCUCCCCCAGGUGAUUCAAACGUGUAGCCCGGUUGGAGAACACGGUUCUGGUUCAUUCUGCAUCCGGACUUUUGGCCCCACCCCUGAUCCCCUACAGACAGGGCUGCCCUGCCCUUGCAGAGUCCUCCCGAAAGAGACUUCGGUCCCGUGUUGCUGCUCAUAUAUAGAUAAGCAUCUCCAGAAAACUCUGUUCUCGGCUUCUGAAUGUCAAGAAGAAGUCAAUCUGAAGCAGUAAGUCUUCUGGCUGCCCCUCCCUGAACAGGAAAUAAACACUCAGCAUGAGUGGCAUGAAAACGUG